rnacentral:rRNA from 1 species
GGUGUAGGCGGCUUGGUAAGUGUUGUGUGAAAGCCCCCGGCUCAACCGGGGAACUGCAUGGCAAACUGCCUGGCUUGAGGUUGGUAGAGGUGCCUGGAACUCUAGGUGGAGCGGUGAAAUGCGUAGAUAUCUAGAGGAACGCCUGAGGCGAAAGCGGGGCACUGGGCCAAUUCUGACGCUGAGACCCGAAAGCGUGGGGAGCAAACA